rnacentral:rRNA from 1 species
GACAGAGGGGGCAAGCGUUGCUCGGAAUUACUGGGCGUAAAGAGCUCGUAGGCGGUUUGUCGCGUCGACUGUGAAAACCCGAGGCUUAACCUCGGGCCUGCAGUCGAUACGGGCAGACUAGAGUUCGGUAGGGGAGACUGGAAUUCCUGGUGUAGCGGUGAAAUGCGCAGAUAUCAGGAGGAACACCGGUGGCGAAGGCGGGUCUCUGGGCCGAUACUGACGCUGAGGAGCGAAAGCGUGGGGAGCGAACAGG